AAAGGCUUAAGUUAAUACAAACUAAAAGCCUUCAAAGCUUUAAAUGGUAAUUCCAGCCUUUA
rnacentral:tRNA from 1 species